ACGGAAGGCAGCAGUGGGGAGUAUUGGACAAUGGGGGAAACCCUGAUCCAGCGACGCCGCGUGAGUGAAGAAGUAUUUCGGUAUGUAAAGCUCUAUCAGCAAGGAAGAAAAUGACGGUACUUGACUAAGAAGCUCCGGCUAAAUACGUGCCAGCAGCCGCGGUAAUACGUAUGGAGCAAGCGUUAUCCGGAUUUACUGGGUGUAAAGGGAGCGUAGACGGCAAAGCAAGUCUGAAGUGAAAUCCCGGGGCUCAACCCCUGAACUGCUUUGGAAACUGUUUAGCUAGAGUGCAGGAGAGGUAAGCGGAAUUCCUAGUGUAGCGGUGAAAUGCGUAGAUAUUAGGAGGAACACCAGUGGCGAAGGCGGCUUACUGGACCACAACUGACGCUGAGACACGAAAGCGUGGGGAGCAAACAGGAUUAGAUACCCUGGUA
rnacentral:rRNA from 1 species